rnacentral:rRNA from 1 species
GGGUGCGAUCAUACCAGCAUUAAUGCACCGGAUCCCAUCAGAACUCCGCAGUUAAGCGCGCUUGGGCUAGAGUAGUACUGGGAUGGGUGACCUCCCGGGAAGUC